GAUGAACGCUGGCGGCGUGCCUAAUACAUGCAAGUCGAGCGAACAGACGAGGAGCUUGCUCCUCUGACGUUAGCGGCGGACGGGUGAGUAACACGUGGAUAACCUACCUAUAAGGCUGGGAUAACUUCGGGAAACCGGAGCUAAUACCGGAUAAUAUAUUGAACCGCAUGGUUCAAUAGUGAAAGACGGUUUUGCUGUCACUUAUAGAUGGAUCCGCGCCGCAUUAGCUAGUUGGUAAGGUAACGGCUUACCAAGGCAACGAUGCGUAGCCGACCUGAGGGGGUGAUCGGCCACACUGGAACUGAGACAUGGUCCAGACUCCUACGGGAGGCAGCAGUAGGGAAUCUUCCGCAAUGGGCGAAAGCCUGACGGAGCAACGCCGCGUGAGUGAUGAAGGUCUUCGGAUCGUAAAACUCUGUUAUUAGGGAAGAACAAAUGUGUAAGUAACUAUGCACGUCUUGACGGUACCUAAUCAGAAAGCCACGGCUAACUACGUG
rnacentral:rRNA from 1 species